UACGUAGGUGGCAAGCGUUGUCCGGAAUUAUUGGGCGUAAAGCGCGCGCAGGUGGUUUCUUAAGUCUGAUGUGAAAGCCCACGGCUCAACCGUGGAGGGUCAUUGGAAACUGGGGAACUUGAGUGCAGGAGAGAAGAGUGGAAUUCCACGUGUAGCGGUGAAAUGCGUAGAGAUGUGGAGGAACACCAGUGGCGAAGGCGACUCUUUGGCCUGUAACUGACACUGAGGCGCGAAAGCGUGGGGAGCAAAAAGG
rnacentral:rRNA from 1 species